UGGGGUGUGGCUCAGUGGAAGAGCACUUGUCUAGCAUGUCAGAGAUCCUGGGUUCCAUCCCCAGUGCUGCAA
rnacentral:tRNA from 1 species